CCCCUACGGGAGGCAGCAGUGAGGAAUAUUGGUCAAUGGACGUAAGUCUGAACCAGCCAAGUAGCGUGCAGGAUGACGGCCCUAUGGGUUGUAAACUGCUUUUGUUAGGGAGUAAAUGAAGGCACGUGUGCUUUUUUGCAUUUACCUUUCGAAUAAGGACCGGCUAAUUCCGUGCCAGCAGCCGCGGUAAUGGGG
rnacentral:rRNA from 1 species